rnacentral:rRNA from 1 species
GGCUUACACAUGCAAGUCGAGGGGUACGUGAAGCAAGCUUGCUUGCUUUGACGACGACCGGCGCACGGGUGAGUAACGCGUAUCCAACCUGCCCCUUACUACGGGACAGCCCGGCGAAAGUCGGAUUAAUACCGUAUGUGGUGUGAAGAGGGCAUCUGACUUACACUAAAGAUUCAUCGGUAAGGGAUGGGGAUGCGUCCGAUUAGGUUGUCGGCGGGGUAACGGCCCACCGAGCCCGCGAUCGGUAGGGGUUCUGAGAGGAAGGUCCCCCACACUGGAACUGAGACACGGUCCAGACUCCUACGGGAGGCAGCAGUGAGGAAUAUUGGUCAAUGGGCGCGAGCCUGAACCAGCCAAGUAGCGUGAGGGAAGACUGCCCUAUGGGUUGUAAACCUCUUUAGUCUGGGAAUAAAGUCGGCGACGUGUCGCCGUUUGUAGGUACCAGAAGAAUAAGGACCGGCUAAUUCCGUGCCAGCAGCCGCGGUAAUACGGAAGGUCCGGGCGUUAUCCGGAUUUAUUGGGUUUAAAGGGAGCGCAGGCGGCCUGUUAAGCGGGCAGUUAAAGGCGGUGGCCCAACCAUCGUUAGCUGUCCGAACUGAUAGGCUUGAGUACGUGCGAGGUAUGCGGAAUUCGUGGUGUAGCGGUGAAAUGCUUAGAUAUCACGAAGAACCCCGAUUGCGAAGGCAGCAUACCAGUGCGCCACUGACGCUAAAGCUCGAAAGCGCGGGUAUCGAACAGGAUUAGAUACCCUGGUAGUCCGCGCGGUAAACGAUGGAUGCCCGCUGUGCGGCCUUUUAUGGUUGCGCGGCCAAGCGAAAGCGUUAAGCAUCCCACCUGGGGAGUACGCCGGCAACGGUGAAACUCAAAGGAAUUGACGGGGGCCCGCACAAGCGGAGGAACAUGUGGUUUAAUUCGAUGAUACGCGAGGAACCUUACCCGGGCUUGAAUUGCAGCUGCAUGGGGCAGAGAUGCCCCUUCCCUUCGGGGCUGCUGUGAAGGUGCUGCAUGGUUGUCGUCAGCUCGUGCCGUGAGGUGUCGGCUUAAGUGCCAUAACGAGCGCAACCCCCCUCCCCGGUUGCCAUCGGGUAAUGCCGGGCACUCCGAGGACACUGCCACCGCAAGGUGUGAGGAAGGUGGGGAUGACGUCAAAUCAGCACGGCCCUUACGUCCGGGGCUACACACGUGUUACAAUGGGGGGCACAGCGAGCUGGACAUGGGCGACCAUGUUCGAAUCAAUAAAUCCCCUCCCAGUUCGGACUGGAGUCUGCAACCCGACUCCACGAAGCUGGAUUCGCUAGUAAUCGCGCAUCAGCCAUGGCGCGGUGAAUACGUUCCCGGGCCUUGUACACACCGCCCGUCAAGCCAUGAAAGCCGGGGGCGCCUGAAGUCCGUGACCGC